rnacentral:rRNA from 1 species
GGCUACACACGUGCUACAAUGGGUAGUACAGAGAGUCGCAAAGCCGCGAGGUGGAGCUAAUCUCAGAAAACUAUUCUUAGUUCGGAUUGUACUCUGCAACUCGAGUACAUGAAGUUGGAAUCGCUAGUAAUCGCGAAUCAGCAAUGUCGCGGUGAAUACGUUCUCGGGUCUUGUACACACCGCCCGUCACACCACGAGAGUUGGUUGCACCUGAAGUAGCAGGCCUAACCGUAAGGAGGGAUGCUCCGAGGGUGUGAUUAGCGAUUGGGGUGAAGUCGUAACAAGGUAUCCGUACGGGAACGU